rnacentral:rRNA from 1 species
UCCUGGCGACUAUAGCGAUUUGGAACCACCUGAUACCAUCUCGAACUCAGAAGUGAA